GGAACUGAAAUACGACGUCGUUUAGCGCCUCUGUAAGGUAGAGCUCUCUUCAUCAGCAGUCAUUACCGUACCGCAAAGCAAGGAGCUAAGCUGUGCGAAGUUACGCCACAUAUCUAUCAUCGAAUCCCUAACCAGGCUACCCUCUUGUUCACCUCUGACUAUCACAGUGAUUUUAUCUCGUUUCUUUGCCUGACGUAAGCUAUGACUGGGAGCAAAGGCGCGGGAGUUCGACCUACUGUUUGCAAGCUACGGAAGAGCGUGGGUCUUCUGUGUGAUAAGUCUGUGUGAAACAAUCGGCAAUUCGCUAUUUUUAGUGGAAUGCAAACUUCAAACUGGGAUUGAGUGAUCUGCUUCGUCGUGUCAAAGGAUUUACGAAGGUUUCUGAGCAGAUUUUUCGAUUUUCUGGUCCUGUACAUUGUUGAGUGGCGGUUCUGGCACUAAAAUCCCUGUUGAGAGAGACAAAAGGAAUCCGCAAGGCCUACGGCUUGUGUCAAAGGUUGUCUGUUUACUUGCCGAUGACUAACAGUCCACUUCCUUGGGUAGACCGGUACCAUGAUGGGACUAGGCAACAAUGUAUUUCUUCCGAUGACCUACGACCCCGGUGACGUAUCACAUGACUCGGAUCAACCGGUGAGAGGAUCAUGGGAAUUUUUAGCCUUAAAAAAGCCAGUAUCGAAAAUUAAACAGAAGAUUCGAGUAGAAAUCUGUGUUCAAUUCGCUAAGGUGGGAGAAAUCGACACGCUUAAGGAACAGUAUGCGGCCGACGUUGUCAUCAAGGCCAAAUGGCGCGAACCGGCGCUGGAUGGACAGACAAUUACGACGGCGGAUGCCAUCGACUGGAAAAAAUACUGGAAUCCCAAAAUUUAUAUAGAAAAUACGAUUGGGGACCCGAAGGAGAAAAUAAGUUACCGAGUUCUACACAACGACGAAGGACAUGCAUUUGUCGUGGAAAAAAGACGAGUCAAGGGAGUAUUCAUGGAAAACCUGGAACUUGAUGAUUUUCCCUUCGAUGUACAGGAUCUCACCAUAACAGUGGCGUCAGAGUUACCGUCCUUUGAGGUGGAGUUGAUCGAGGAUAUAGAGGAGCAUCACUUGGUCAACAGGCAGUCAUUUGUGGACGAGCAGGAGUGGCAUCUCUACAUGCACACCGAGACAGAAAGGAAAGAGUUCUACAUAGAGAAAUCAGAGGCCACAAUCAAACGGUCGGCGUUAUCCGUGAAGUGCCGAGCGGCACGAAGACCCGGAUACUUCGUCUGGAAUAUAUUCAUGGUCACGUUUCUUAUAUGCAGUUUGUGUUUUGCCACAUUCUCCGUGGACAAGAACCGACCCCACAACCGUCUUCAGCUUUCCUUCACCCUCAUGCUCACGGCAGUCGCCUUCAAAUCAGUCGUCAACCAAAGUUUGCCCAAGAUCUCCUACCUUACCUAUAUGGACAAAUAUUUACUCGCAUCGAUGAUAAUGCUUUCAACAAUCUGCGCGUGGCACGGAAUUGUCACCACCAUAAGCAACAAGGACGGGAGCGCGGACCGCAUAGAGAACAUCGUCCUCACCGCACUUGCAGUCAUAUAUAUACUCUAUAACGUCGGCUUCAUAUUCAUGAUUUACCUAUUCCCAUGUAAGAGGAGGCGUCUCAUGAACUUAAAGGACAGGGAGUACCGGAGUUCUCUACGGGAAUGGGAGCUUUGAGACGACAGAUAAAGGGCAACAACUCUUGCACCUCUCUGUUCAUCCUUUGGCAUUUUUCACUUCACUUACCCGCUCAGCCUGAUGAUACAAUUUGCCCGCAACAUAUUUAGCUUAUUGAAAGACAAAGAAACAGGCCUACAAUCGCAAAUUCUUACGCUUUGGAACUGGGAACAACUAAGCUUGGACAAAUGCUUUUCACCCACGAGAUAUUAAACACUCACUCGAAAAAAAAAACACUGUGCUUUCUAAAGAUGGGAUGAUCUACUCAAACUUUUACAAGUUUCUUAAAGUGACAUUUGUUUCAAAACAUUUUUGAGCGAUAAACCACAGGGCUUCUGUUUUUCACCCGCUGCAGACACCUGAGGAACAGUAUCUAAGCCAGAUCUUGGAGGAAGAAUCAUCAGACGUUUGACCUAACUCACUCGAAAAGUUACCAGUCUGGAAAAACGAAACCAGUCUGGGGAAGGUACUUGACUAUUACCAAGGUACCAGUCAUGUGUGAUCUUUAGCCAAACCGACCAAACAACCCGGAAGCAUUUUCCGGGAAUUCUGGCCAAAGACUUCUACGUUUUAUCAACGUGAAAUCUUGUGAUAUGUACAAAAGGCGGCCUGCUUUGGGAGCAUAGCGGAUGUUCGGUAUUUUAUCGAGUAACCAAUUUUUGGGCUUCAGUAUUUUUUUCUUCAGAAAAAAGAGUUGUGAAAAGCUGUUUAUUGACGAGGUGAUGCAGCUUGAUCAGGACACGUGAUUCUCGUGGGUAUGGUGCGGU